UAGUUUUUAGUGUAUGGUGCACGAUAAAUUUUGAUUUUAUAAGUAAUAAUUUUUAAAUUAUUAAAACUAA
rnacentral:tRNA from 1 species